UCGCAGUAUGGGAUGGGGUCGCGUCCUAUCAGCUUGACGGCGGGGUAACGGCCCACCGUGGCUUCGACGGGUAGCCGGCCUGAGAGGGCGACCGGCCACAUUGGGACUGAGAUACGGCCCAGACUCCUACGGGAGGCAGCAGUGGGGAAUAUUGCACAAUGGGCGCAAGCCUGAUGCAGCGACGCCGCGUGAGGGAUGGAGGCCUUCGGGUUGUAAACCUCUUUUAUCGGGGAGCAAGCGAGAGUGAGUUUACCCGUUGAAUAAGCACCGGCUAACUACGUGCCAGCAGCCGCGGUAAUACGUAGGGUGCAAGCGUUAUCCGGAAUUAUUGGGCGUAAAGGGCUCGUAGGCGGUUCGUCGCGUCCGGUGUGAAAGUCCAUCGCUUAACGGUGGAUCCGCGCCGGGUACGGGCGGG
rnacentral:rRNA from 1 species